rnacentral:lncRNA from 1 species
CCCCGCGGAAGGCGGCUCGCCCUCCCCGCCGCGGCGCAGCCCGGCGCCUCGCCGCCCCCCUCGCGGGGCCGUUCCGCCGCCUGCAGGUGUGUUUCCCCGCGGCUUUUUUCGUUUCGGGCUUUAUUUUUCUUUAUUUUUUUUAAUAAAACUUUUAAUUAACGUUUUUUUUGCCGGCCCCGGGCCGGUUUUCGCCUCCGGCCUGCACGCCCCGGCGGCGAGCGCCGAGUUUGGGAUUCGGACUUCCAGAUCUGUCCUGUGUUGUUUAAAACUGGAUGAGAUGACAAUGCAAAAAAUGGAAGUAACAAGAAGCAUCAUACUUUUCUUCUGUUCAGCAGUGUUGAGAAAAAACUGUGGAUCCUGGAAUUUUACUGUGGAUUUUACUGGUUUUCUGGAGUACUUUCCUGUUGAAACAGAAAUUGCCCUGUGUCAAGCGAGAAUCACUUGCCAGGAGGACCUGAUGCGUCUUUGCGCUCAGUCAAAGGUGAGUUGGGAAGGUGAGUUUACGUGCCUGCCCACUUGGAACUGCUUGUAGUAUCCCCAUUCCCGGCACUCUGGAUAAAUGGAAAGCCCUCAGAAGUGCGUAUUCUCUUUGGGUGCUGCAGUUAACACCCAGAGGAGGCAGAGAGAAAACUCUUAGAUCAUACUUUUCAGUUACCAUCGCUCUGAUUUUAAUACUGAGGAUCCAAAACGCAAACAAAGUUUGAAAAAAUCCUGAAAGAAACUGAAGUGUGAAGUAGAAUGCUUCAAACACGUAGCUUUGUAUUGUUUAAAAUAGUUACUCUCUUAGCAUAAAUUCACGUAUUUUCUCAGAUCUAUAUUUUACUGCCUAUCCCAAAUUGCCCAUUGCUCAAUAUUCAGUGUGAGUGUUGGUCUUCUCUGUGUCGGAAAAAAGGUUGGUGAAUGUGUAUUGAACCCUCACUUUGGAAAGUCACGCUUGCUUAGGAGAGAGCUCUUUGCCCCCCUUGUCGAACKAGGUGAAAGACUGAUUGUAUAUAAACAUUCAUUAAAACAUGAACCUCAAACACAAUCAGAAUGGAUUAUAGAACUAAGCUUGUUUGCUGUUGCCUUUUUUCUUUUUUUAAGUCACUUUAAGAGAUGAAAGAAAUAAGACUACACAGGUACAGUCAAGUAGAACAUUGUUACAGAAACAAAAUGAAGGGUAAAAUUAUGUGGAGGCUUAUUUUGUUUUAGCUUAUCCAGGUUUAACUUUCUCUUUGUACUUGUUUGUUUCUUUGCAGUAAGUAGCAAUUGCUCUUUAGAGAGCUGGAACUGGUGCUAUCAGUAUUGAGGACACUGAAGUGGAGAAAAAAUAGUGCUUUUUUUAGUUGGCAAAUAUUUAAUUUAAAAACUUGCAAUAAUCUGGCACAGGUCAUAAGAGCUUUCGAAAUUCCUAUUUUUAAGUUUGCUAAAAGGCAGAGACUAGGAGGUGGACAAACUGAAACUCGGAUAACCAGUGUGUUCAGAGACAGCACAAACAUUUGAACCCAAUAGCACCAUUUCUGACAUUGUUCAGUUUUUUGUGAUGCUGCUUU